UGAUUUACAUUUGAGUGAGUGGCGAACUGGUGAGUAACAGUGGGAAGCCUGCCCAGAAGCGGGGGAUAACACCUGGAAACAGAUGCUAAUACCGCAUAACAACUUGGACCGCAUGGUCCGAGCUUGAAAGAUGGCUUCGGCUAUCACUUUUGGAUGGUCCCGCGGCGUAUUAGCUAGAUGGUGGGGUAACGGCUCACCAUGGCAAUGAUACGUAGCCGACCUGAGAGGGUAAUCGGCCACAUUGGGACUGAGACACGGCCCAAACUCCUACGGGAGGCAGCAGUAGGGAGUCUUCCACAAUGGACGAAAGUCUGAUGGAGCAACGCCGCGUGAGUGAAGAAGGGUUUCGGCUUGUAAAACUCUGUUGUUAAAGAAGAACAUAUCUGAGAGUAACUGUUCAGGUAUUGACGGUAUUUAACCAGAAAGCCACGGCUAACUACGUGCCAGCAGCCGCGGUAAUACGUAGGUGGCAAGCGUUGUCCGGAUUUAUUGGGCGUAAAGCGAGCGCAGGCGGUUUUUUAAGUCUGAUGUGAAAGCCUUCGGCUCAACCGAAGAGGUGCAUCGGAAACUGGGAAACUUGAGUGCAGAAGAGGACAGUGGAACUCCAUGUGUAGCGGUGAAAUGCGUAGAUAUAUGGAAGAACACCAGUGGCGAAGGCGGCUGUCUGGUCUGUAACUGACGCUGAGGCUCGAAAAGUAUGGGUAGCAAACAGGAUUAGAUACCCUGGGUAGUCCAUACCGG
rnacentral:rRNA from 1 species